GACGAACGCUGGCGGCGUGCCUAAUACAUGCAAGUCGAGCGGGUUUAUCCUUCGGGAUAAGCUAGCGGCGGACGGGUGAGUAACACGUAGGUAACCUGCCUUUAAGACUGGGAUAACUAUCGGAAACGGUAGCUAAUACCGGAUAAUUUGUUUCUUCUCAUGAAGAGACACUGAAAGGCGGAGUAAUCUGCCACUUAUAGAUGGGCCUGCGGCGCAUUAGCUAGUUGGUGAGGUAACGGCUCACCAAGGCGACGAUGCGUAGCCGACCUGAGAGGGUGAACGGCCACACUGGGACUGAGACACGGCCCAGACUCCUACGGGAGCG
rnacentral:rRNA from 1 species